rnacentral:rRNA from 1 species
CCUACGGGAGGCUGCAGUAAGGAAUAUUGGACAAUGGCCGGAAGACUGAUCCAGCCAUGCCGCGUGAAGGACGAAGGCGCUCAGCGUUGUAAACUUCUUUUGGAUGGGGAUAAUAACCUCGAUUUAUCGGGGCUUGAAGGUACCAUCAGAAUAAGCACCGGCUAACUCCGUGCCAGCAGCCGCGGUAAUACGGAGGGUGCGAGCGUUAUCCGGAAUCACUGGGUUUAAAGGGUGCGUAGGCGGCGAGGUAAGUCAGUUGUGAAAUUCCCCGGCUCAACCGGUGGGACUGCGAUUGAUACUGCUUUGCUUGAAACAGGUUGAGGUAAGCGGAAUGUGACAUGUAGCGGUGAAAUGCAUAGAUAUGUCAUAGAACACCGAUUGCGAAGGCAGCUUGCUGGGCCUUGUUUGACGCUGAGGCACGAAAGCGUGGGGAGCAAACAGGAUUAGAUACCCCUGUAGUC